CAGGAAUUCUUCUGCAUUGCGUACCUGCGCCGUCGGCAACACUCAACACUCAACACCCAGCCGGCAGCCUGACUCCCUCUCUCCCUCCAUUCUCUCGUUCCUCGUUCGAUCCCCACCCGUACGGGACCUCCUCACACCCGCGAUGAGCCGCCGCCUGCUGCCGUCCCGCUCAACUCCGGCAGCAUCCGCCUCCGCCGUUUGCUGGGGAUGCUCCGGCUUGAUCUCCUCCACCGGAUCCCCAACUACACCUCCCUGUUUCGCCCCCAAGCAUGACGCCGCGGCUAGCCCUAGCCCGCGUGAUUCCGCGCCGCUGCUCCUCCGGUUGGUUCCCCUCGUCGUCCACCUUCCAGCGUGGCUCCGCCAGAUCCUCGCUGCCGCCACGCCGGCAAACCCUAGCCAUGGGGUCUGGCUCGGGUUGCCGUUGCUGCUCCGCACACGAGCACCUCCGGCUGCAUCCUCAACGCCCACGACCUCCUCCUCGACUUCCCCUGCUGCUAAUCCACUACUACAUCGGCUACCUCCACGACGACGACUACGUCUUCCUCCUCUACGCCCUCUGUUUCCCUCUGCUGCUGCACGGCUGUGGUUUCACCGCACCGCAACAGCAGCGGUGGUCGCCAUCCUACGUCUACGGUCAGAAGAUGCUUCUGAGUGACAACGUGGUGAUGAAGAGACUGAUGACUCCUUGUUCAACUGCAAGAAGCUGAAGAUGCCUAAGUGGUAUAGGUAUGAAUUCCAAAUGCAGCAUCAAGGUGGAGAUCCAUGAUGGAACUUACAAUGUCAUUAAGAACUGGAACUACAUCGGCCUUGUGGAAGCCAUCCACAAUGCGGAGGCUAAGUGUUGGACUGUCAAGGUAACAUUAAGAAAGAUGCGGAGUCACAGAAUGUCAGGCACCAAAUGCCUGGGUGAUCGAGUCGCUCCUGGACGUGGAGAAGCAUUUAACUCCUUGAGGUGAACCAGAGCUUCCACUGUCAACAAUGCUGCUCCUUGCCAGCUGAUGAAUCUGAGUGGUGCAGGUGCAAUUGAUUAGAUGGACAUCAUAGUUGUGUCUCCUGCUGAUUACCUGGAAGCUUGGUUUACAAAGGGAGUGGAACUCCGUUUAUAUCUUGGAUGGAUUUGAGGCCACUGAAAACUACUCUGUACCGAGAGGUAUAUAUUCACUGUUGAUUGCGGGGCGGCGGCUCAGUUGGUCCGGGCGUGGGGAGAUGAUGGGCACGCCGAAAGCAAGCACCGAGUGGCUGUCAUCGACAGUGGAAACUGGGGCAGCUUCGCGGGCCACCUCAUUGCCUCCAACACUGCCAAGCUGCCCGCCUUCCAUGAGCUCAAAAUCAUAUGACAGAUGUGGGUGGUUCAGUUUUAGUUGCUUCUGCAUGGUCACGAGAGUGGUGCUCUGAUUCUCCCAUCAAAGGCCUCAUACACAGUCCUAUAUCCGCCAAUGAAGUAUUUCCAUAUGUACCUUGUUGGGUUUGUACUAGUAUUAUACUUGAACUGUUCGAAUCUUCUAGAGCAAGUAAUUCUGGGACUUUGUUUUUUAUUCAUUUGCACUAUUGUAACCGGCACAUAUUUUAUGGCUUCGAUAUAUACCGGCCUUUGGAGCUAGCUUAAUUCCAGACUGGCAUUUGAAAUGAUAUGUGUACCGAGG